rnacentral:snRNA from 1 species
AUACUUACCUAGACGGGGUCAAUGAUCAAGAAGGCUCAUAACCUAGGUUGGUGACUUUUAUUGCACUUAGAAGAGGUGCCAGCUUAAGGUCUCCCCAGUGGAAGAGUCUACGUCAUAAAUAAUUGCACUGGAGCUAUUUAGUAUUACGGU